AAAAAGAUAUCUAAAAAAAAAAAAAAAAAAAAAACGAAAAUUAAUAGAUAAAAUAAAAUCAGGAAGAGAAAGUAAGAUGUUUAAAGAGAUGCAAAGAGAAUUUGUUUACUUCCCGUUUUCGACUCGAAUCCACUUAAUGGUAGUUGCAGACCGCUGCCCGAUCUUCGAAACUCCGCUACUUGAUCUCAGUCUGGUGCGCACCGCCACUGAGUGAGGGUGUCAACGUUUGUUUUAUUCGAAACGACAAACCGACCUAGAGAGAUCAACAGGUAA